rnacentral:piRNA from 1 species
UACAAAGGGUCAAAAGCCGACAGUGAGCGC